ACUUAAAUAGCUUAUAUAGAGCAUGAUAUUGAAGAUAUCAAGGAAAUUAAAUAUUUUUAAGUA
rnacentral:tRNA from 4 species